rnacentral:rRNA from 1 species
UAGCUUGUUGGUGAGGUAACGGCUCACCAAGGCAUCGACGGGUAGCUGGUCUGAGAGGACGAUCAGCCACACUGGGACUGAGACACGGCCCAGACUCCUACGGGAGGCAGCAGUAGGGAAUCUUGCGCAAUGGGCGAAAGCCUGACGCAGCGACACCGCGUGGGGGAUGAAUGCCUUCGGGUUGUAAACCCCUUUCAGCAGGGACGAAAAUGACGGUACCUGCAGAAGAAGCUCCGGCCAACUACGUGCCAGCAGCCGCGGUAAUACGUAGGGCGCAAGCGUUGUCCGGAUUUAUUGGGCGUAAAGAGCUCGUAGGCGGUUCAACAAGUCGGUCGUAAAAGUUCAGGGCUCAACCCUGAAAUGUCGAUCGAUACUGUUGUGACUAGGAUACGGUAGAGGUGAGUGGAAUUCCGAGUGUAGCGGUGAAAUGCGUAGAUAUUCGGAGGAACACCAAUUGCGAAGGCAGCUCACUGGGCCGCUAUCGACGCUGAGGAGCGAAAGCUAGGGGAGCAAACAGGAUUAGAUACCCUCGUAGUCCAUGCCGUAAACGAUGUGUGUUAGACGUUGGAAAUUUAUUUUCAGUGUCACAGCGAAAGCGAUAAACACACCGCCUGGGGAGUACGACCGCAAGGUUAAAACUCAAAUGAAUUGACGGGGACCCGCACAAGUAGUGGAGCAUGGGGUUUAAUUCGAAGAUGCGCGCAGAACCUUACCAACACUUGACAUGUUCGUCGCGACUUUAAGAGAUUAAAGUUUUCGGUUCGGCCGGACGAAACACAGGUGCUGCAUGGCUGUCGUCAGCUCGUGUCGUGAGAUGUUGGGUUAAGUCCCGCAACGAGCGCAACCCUCACUUUUAGUUGCCAUCAUUUAGUUGGGCACUCUGAAAGAACUGCCAGUGAUAAGCUGGAGGAAGGUGGGGAUGACGUCAAGUCCUCAUGGCCCUUACGUGUUGGGCUACACACGUGCUACAAUGGCAUCUACAAUAGGAAGCAAAAUGGCGACAUUGAGCAAAUCCUAAAAAGAUGCCUCAGUUCGGAUUGCACUCUGCAACUCGAGUGCAUGAAGCUGGAAUUACUAGUAAUCGCGGAUCAGCGCGCCGCGGUGAAUACGUUCCCGGGUCUUGUACACACCGCCCGUCACACCAUGGGAGUUGGUUCUACCUUAAGGCAAGGUUUCAAAACCUUGACCACUGUAUAGUCAGCGACUGGGGUGAAGUCGUAACAAGGUAGCCGUA